GACGAACGCUGGCGGCGUGCCUAAUACAUGCAAGUAGAACGCACAGUUUAUACCGUAGCUUGCUACACCAUAGACUGUGAGUUGCGAACGGGUGAGUAACGCGUAGGUAACCUGCCUGGUAGCGGGGGAUAACUAUUGGAAACGAUAGCUAAUACCGCAUAAUAUUAAUUAUUGCAUGAUAAUUAAUUGAAAGGUGCAAUUGCACCACUACCAGAUGGACCUGCGUUGUAUUAGCUAGUAGGUGAGGUAACGGCUCACCUAGGCGACGAUACAUAGCCGACCUGAGAGGGUGAUCGGCCACACUGGGACUGAGACACGGCCCAGACUCCUACGGGAGGCAGCAGUAGGGAAUCUUCGGCAAUGGACGAAAGUCUGACCGAGCAACGCCGCGUGAGUGAAGUAGGUUUUCGGAUCGUAAAGCUCUGUUGUAAGAGAAGAACGGGUGUGAGAGUGGAAAGUUCACACUGUGACGGUAUCUUACCAGAAAGGGACGGCUAACUACGU
rnacentral:rRNA from 1 species